rnacentral:rRNA from 1 species
GUUGAUCCUGCGGGAGGUUGCUGCUAUUGGGAUUCGACUAAGCCAUGCAAGUCAGGUAGCAAUACCGGCGACAUGCUCAGUAACACGUCGAUAAUCUACCCUAAGGUUAGGGAUAACCUCGGGAAACUGAGGGUAAACCCUGAUAGGCAAGAUGCUCUGGAAUAUAGCUCUUGUUCAAACUCGAGCCUUAGGAUGAGUCGGCGGCCGAUUAGGCUGUUGGUGGUGUAACGGACCACCAAACCAAUGAUCGGUAGGGGCCUUGAAAGAGGUAGCCCCGAGAAGGACACUGGAAUACUGGUCCUAGCCCUACGGGGUGCAGCAGGCGCGAAACUUUUACAAUGCGCGAAAGCGUGAUAAGGGGAUCCCAAGUGCUUGUACUAUGUGCAGGCUUUUGUCAAGGGUAAACACCUUGGCGAAUAAGUGGUGGGCAAGACUGGUGCCAGCCGCCGCGGUAACACCAGCGCCACAAGUGGCAGCCGCGUAUUUGGCCUAAAGCGUCCGUAGCUGGUACGGCAAAUCUUUUGUGAAAUUGUUCGGCUUAACCGAACGACGUGCAGGAGACACUACCGUACUUGAGACCGGGAGGAGUCAGAGGUAUUCUUGGGGGAGCGGUAAAAUGCUAUAAUCCCAGGAAGACCACUGUGGCGAAGGCGUCUGACUAGAACGGAUCUGACAGUGAGGGACGAAAGCCAGGGGAGCGAACCGGAUUAGAUACCCGAGUAGUCCUGGCCGUAAACGCUGCGAGCAAGGUGUUGCCUAUUCUACAUGAAUGGGCAGUGUCGAAACGAAGGUGUUAAGCUCGCCGCCUGGGAAGUACAGUCGCAAGGCCGAAACUUAAAGGAAUUGGCGGGGGAGCACUACAAGGGGUGCGGCGUGCGGUUCAAUCUAACUCAACGCAGAGAACCUUACUACGGCGACGGCAGAAUGAAGGUCAACCUGAAGGGUUUACCUGACGAGCCGAGAGGUAGUGCAUGGCCGCCGUCAGCUCGUGCCGUAAGGUGUCCUCUUAAGUGAGGCAACGAGCGAGACCUGUGUCUGCAAUUGCUAACGGUUCCCACGGGAAGACUGAGCACAUUGCAGUUACUGCCUUGGAAACAAGGAGGAAGGUGCAGGCUACGGUAGGUCUGUAUGCUCCGAAUCCGCUAGGCUACACGCGCGCAACAAUGGUAGACACAAUGGGCUGCGACCCUGAGAAGGGAAGCUAAUCCUCGAAAAUCUAUCCAAGUCCAGAUUGAGGGUUGUAACUCACCCUCAUGACGACGGAAUCCCUAGUAAUCAGAGUUCAUCAUACUCUGGUGAAUACGUCCCUGCUCCUUGCACACACCGCCCGUCAAACCAACCGAGCAGGGUUUGAAUGAGACUCAACUUUUUUGGUUGUUUCGAAUUUGAGCUCAGUGAGGUGGGUUAAGUCGUCACAAGGUC